GACGAACGCUGGCGGCGUGCCUAAUACAUGCAAGUCGAACGCAGUGGGGACGGGUGAGUAACACGUGGGUAACCUCCCAUCAGAGGGGAUAACACUUGGAAACAGGUGCUAAACCGAUACUGAUGGAUGGACCCGCGGUGCAUUAGCUUGUAGGUGAGGUAACGGCUCACCAAGGACACGAUCCCUAGCUGGUCUGAGAGGAUGAUCAGCCACACUGGGACUGAGACACGGCCCAGACUCCUACGGGAGGCAGCAGUGGGGAAUAUUUCACAAUGGGCGAAAGCCUGAUGCAGCCAUGCCGCGUGUAUGAUGAAGGCCUUCGGGUUGUAAAGUCCUUUCAGUCGGGAGGCGUUACCCACAGAAGAAGCAACGGCUAACUCCGUGCCAGCAGCCGCGGUAAUAC
rnacentral:rRNA from 1 species